GCCAUGUUAGUUCAGUUUGUAGAGCAUGAGACUUGUAAUCUAAAUGUCAUGGGUUAAAUAACCGUCCAUGUCA